rnacentral:ncRNA from 1 species
ACAGCGGUAUCGUAAUGCCUGGUGACUUUGGUUGUCCGUAGGACAACCUAGCUACUCCUGAAAUGGAACGGGACAGACUGAAAUCGAAGCCCAGGGUGAGCCGCUCC